rnacentral:rRNA from 1 species
AACGCGAAGAACCUUACCAAGGCUUGACAUACACCGGAAAGCAUUAGAGAUAGUGCCCCCCUUGUGGUCGGUGUACAGGUGGUGCAUGGCUGUCGUCAGCUCGUGUCGUGAGAUGUUGGGUUAAGUCCCGCAACGAGCGCAACCCUUGUUCUGUGUUGCCAGCAUGCCCUUCGGGGUGAUGGGGACUCACAGGAGACUGCCGGGGUCAACUCGGAGGAAGGUGGGGACGACGUCAAGUCAUCAUGCCCCUUAUGUCUUGGGCUGCACACGUGCUACAAUGGCAGGUACAAAGAGCUGCGAAGCCGCGAGGCGGAGCGAAUCUCAAAAAGCCUGUCUCAGUUCGGAUUGGGGUCUGCAACUCGACCCCAUGAAGUCGGAGUUGCUAGUAAUCGCAGAUCAGCAUUGCUGCGGUGAAUACGUUCCCGGGCCUUGUACACACCG